rnacentral:lncRNA from 1 species
AACAAACGCCUACUGAUUCAUGCAGACACAGUCCUGGGUGAGGAGGACAGCUUCCAUUGCAGCUAUGCAGCACCCAGCUCAACAGGAAUGGGGAAUAACGUCAACAAAAGGAACAGAACUGGACCUUGCCUGAUGCAGACACACUGGGACUUGUCAGAGUUAUCAAAGCUCCCAGAAACGUUGCUCUUAGUACUAGCAGUGUGUGUGCCACUCUUCCUGCAGCAAAGGGAAGCUCAAAGGAAGGCAGCAGGUUUGUCCCAGUGCAACACUGUGCAGCUCCGGUCCCGCUGUUCCCUGUGGAGGAUGCAUGCUGCUCUCUCUCCUUUGCUGCCCAGACUU